rnacentral:rRNA from 3 species
CAUAAUGACUCUCGGCAACGGAUAUCUCGGCUCUCGCAUCGAUGAAGAACGUAGCGAAAUGCGAUACUUGGUGUGAAUUGCAGAAUCCCGUGAACCAUCGAGUCUUUGAACGCAAGUUGCGCCCGAUGCCAUUAGGCUGAGGGCACGUCUGCCUGGGUGUCACA